GCUUUGUUAGAUUUAAUACUUUCUUGGAUUUCUAUAGUAUAUAUUAGAUUUUUAAAAGUUUAAAGGGAUACAUAGGGAUAGUGAAAAUUAGUGGUGUUAACUAUCUCAUCCUACAGUUUUGGAGGUACAACUUUAAUAUUUUGUAGGAUGUUUCUUACACAUAAUGAAGAUGUGCAUGGUCACACGAUUUUGAUUUUUUACAAAUAUUCUGAGAAUGACAGGUAGUUGGACUUAUCUAGCUAAUAAUGCUAAUUCUCUCUUUUUAAGAGUACAGUAAUAGAUAACUAUAUUUGGUAUGUGUAUACCUAGCAAGGUCGUGCUUUUCUGACAGUUUUUACUUGACCUCCAUUUCAUUUCAUGGAUCAUAGUACAAAGUUAAUUCCAUAUCUCAGAUACUGCAGACAAUAGGUCUACUUUAUUUGGUGAGUGGAAUGAUUGUAAGGUUUGCAUGUCCAACUGGCAGGUUUUGUCUGACCUUGGGCAUUUUUCAUAGUUCAAUGGUUAAAUAUUUUUUUAUGGUUUGGUCUGUUUUAAUACUGUAUGCAACAUAUCAACUUUAUUUGGUGUAUGAAAAAAUUUUAUGAUGUACAUGUCAGUCAUGUUUUAUUUCAGUUUGUGCACUCUUAUUAUUUUAUGAUUUAUGUCAGCAGUUUUCACUAUAUGGAAAGGCGAAGUUACAGUGAAAAGGUGAUAAAACAAAUUUUAAAUGUAUAAACAAAUUAGGCUACAAC
rnacentral:lncRNA from 1 species